ensembl:lncRNA
GGUUUGAAAGAAAAAAAGCAGAAAAGAAAAAUAAAAAAACAAUUUUAAUUCUACUUAACAUGCAUAUAUCGUGUAAGCAAAUAGUAUUUCAAAAUAGCUAUAUAUAAAUGUAAGUUUGUGCCCCCAAAUGUUGAUCCAUCUCUCCUUAGCUCUUAAUUUAUUUGUAGAGAAAUAAAAUUGCUAAAAAAUUGCUGCUGCCAAUACCAGUUCUCUGUUGGCAAAUUUGAUGUUAUACUUUAAAAAUAAGUGAAGAAGCAGCCAGUUGCACUGGCAAUAAAGCACUCAAGCAUUAACCACUGGACAUUGGACCUUUUUCUGUCCCUCCAACGCUUUGACCACACACAAAUCUCUGAAUAAAACUCUUCUCUUGGCACAAAUUUUUGGGUAAACUUCAUCACAUUAAAAGGCAGGAAAAGGGUUUUUUAGACCUACCUCUGCUACUGCAACUUGCGCAAUCUUAGAUAAGCUCAACCAUUUUUGAACUCUAUUUUAAUGGUUAACAAGAUGGCUUGGUCUAAAUGACAUCCUGGUUCUCUGUGGUUUUACCAUUCUGAGCUCGUUUUCCUGGCCUGUUUGCAUGCAGCUCUCCCUCAUUGUGGCUGAUUUAUGAGCCACAUUUACCUUUUCUUCAUUUCCCUUGAUUUCCAGGGUAUUUGUAAAUCUAGAGGAAUGAGCCGGAGGGAAGGAACUGGAGAGGAGAGGAGGGAGAAGAGAUGCCGCUGAGAGUAAAGUUACACACCUUUCACCACAACACUUAGGAGAAAACAAUUUCGCUAGUUUCCAUUAAGUUUGAACUCUCAGGCAGGAAAGUAUCUUCAGGUGAGAGUAUUUAAAGAGCAACUGCGUGUUCCUCCUCCACUCUUAGAAGAUUUCUUCAGGCUAACCAUGCAGAGCUCAAAACGUGUUGAAAGCUGCAACCAACAAAGUCUGAAAUUGGCUGACCAUGGAACAUCUAACCCGAAAACAUGCAUAUCCCUUUCAGAGGGCAAAAGUAAGUACAGGGUCUUAUAUUGUCUGGACUGCUCACUAAAUCAAUUUUAACUUUGAUUAGUAGAAUGGGAUAUCAUAGCAAAGAAUCACGGUAACAUACAGCGUGUAAAUGUUAGUGUUUAAUUAGCAAUGAAAUUACUAUUUCAAAAGCUUCUAAAGGUGGAAGUAUUGUCAUUUUAACAGACAAUAUACUGAUUUUCCACUAAUAUAUUUUGGUAUUUUUACUUCCUUUAUUAUUUUAAGAAAACUGGUAUGUUAUGUUGUGUGAUUACUUUUAAAAAUUCAAACAAUAAUUUUACUCAAUUUGAAAUUUAUUUUCCUAAAUGCAAUUUGCAUAUCAAAGUGAUCUCCAGGGAUAAAACAAUUCAUAAAUUAAAGUUUUGUACUAACACCUAAUAAGGAAAAUUGUUUCUUCUAGCCUAACACUAAACUUACUUAUUCUUAAAACUCACCACUACAUAUUUAUUUCAUAUACAAUUGGGUCUCCAUGUCCAUGGGUUCCCCAUUAAUGGAUUCAAUCAACCACUGAUUGAAAAUACAUACGGAAAAAAAUGAAUGGUUGCAUCUGUAGUAAACAUGUGCAGACUUUUUCUUGUCAUUAUUUCCUAAAAGUGUAGCAAAAAAACUAUUAACAUAGAAUGUACAUUGUAUUAGGUAUUAUAAGUAAUCUAGAUGUGAUUUAAACUAUAUAGGAUAAUCUACAUAAGUUAUAUGCAAAUACUACAACGGUUCAUAUAAGGAACUUGAACAUUGGUGGGUUUUGGUAUCCAUGGGAGUCCUGGAAGCAAUUCCCCAAGAAACUGAGGAAAGACUAUAUAUUGAUAGAUUUAAGUUUAAAUGAGUGGAAGCAUACUUAGUUAUACUUACAUAUUAAUUUUAUGAAUAUUAUAAAUCAGAGCUGAAUUUUAAUGACUGAUUGAUUUCCUUUUUCAAUCAUCUUCUCAAAAUAAAUACCUCAAAAUCCAUUUGCAUUGUAUAUCACAAUUUCUUCUUUAUCCUAUCCUAAGACUAAAUCAUUAAUGCAG